rnacentral:rRNA from 1 species
AUACGGAGGGGGCUAGCGUUGUUCGGAAUUACUGGGCGUAAAGCGUACGUAGGCGGACUGAUCAGUUGGGGGUGAAAUCCCAGGGCUUAACCCUGGAACUGCCUUCAAUACUGUCAGUCUUGAGAUUGGAAGAGGUGAGUGGAAUUCCUAGUGUAGAGGUGAAAUUCAUAGAUAUUAGGAGGAACACCAGUGGCGAAGGCGGCUCACUGGUCCAAUACUGACGCUGAGGUACGAAAGCGUGGGGAGCAAACAGGAUUAGAACCCUAGUAGUCC